AAAUAUUCUGAAGGCCCAUCAUUUUUUUUGUCUCUGCAGAAACCUGAAAUACAUCAAUCAAAACCAUACAUUUCUGUGAAAAAAACAAAAGAGCCUAAGCGUGAUGCUUUUAUUUAUAAGGCAUUUGUGAAGAAAUCCACCCAUGACCCCACAAAGGUCCUGGAACUUGCAAGAAGCACCAGAGAUAUAGCGGAGACAGCCAUAAAGCUCAUAGAAUAAGAAGAUUUUCAGUAUUUCCAGCUGUUGUCCUGCGGAAUUGCUUGCGGAGAAGAGGAUGGGUGGAAAAGACAAAUUUAAGAACUGGUAUGGCUGCCCAAAGAACGUACAACUAUUUAAAGGAUUAGGGUGACAAGGGUGUAAAUGGUGUUGGUGCAACCUAGAACAUGGAGUUCUCUUAACUUUAAAAUUAAAGUCCCAGGCUCUUGUUCAUGGUUCUGAAAUGCAACCGCAAAAAUCGAACUCAAAAUUCAAAAACUCGAAAAUCUGAAUCUUGGUAAAACUAUUUAGUCAAUGGUUUGCCCCAUCCAAUAGCUAAGUAGUUGCAAUAUGGUUACGACACUUUUUUCUUCACUGGAUAUAUCUGUAAGUGUAGAAGGAUGAAUGUUAAAGGGGUGGUUCACCUUUAAGUAAACUUUUUGUAUGUCAUAGGAUGGAUAAUUCUAAGUAACU